UUGGGUAAAAUCAUUGUGGGGCUCACACUUUGGCAAUGGGUUAUACUUAAAGUGGUGGGACCCACAUUGAUUUCACCCAA
rnacentral:pre_miRNA from 1 species